AUGCCUGACAAAUACCAGGGUGGUUUUGAGAAUCAGGACUUCGAUGAAGGUUUGGAUCAGAUCCUUGAAGAGUUAUUUGAUGAGAACGUGUUGUUUGUCUGUGAUGAACCCGGUGCUGUUAAUAACGACGAACAAGCUGUUGUCAACAAUCAGGAGCUGAUAACCCCGCCAGAAAUCGUAGCACAAGAGGUUGAGAUUAGCGCCGAAUCACAACACGCCCUAGGACACGUCACAAAUCCUGCCUCCGCAGACGCACCGGCUCCCGAGGGAGCUUCUCACAAACUCCCAGAUAUCUCAAGCGUUCGCACCGAAGAUAGCGUUACGUGUAGGCCGCGACACUCGGAGGGUCAGGGGGUGAAACGUUUGAGGUUACCGGAGGGGGGAACGGACGAUAUACCAACCACCAGUCGUUUAAGGACUUCGGAGAAUAACGAGCAAGGAUAUGACGAAGGAGGGCUAACAGCCUGGAGCGAUUCUAUGGUGAGCGCCUGGGAUCGUGCGUCUUUUAACGAUUCGGCAAGCGAGGAGGAGACGGAAGAGCUACCUAACGAGGACCCUCAAGAGCUGUUCCGUGAACGUGAUUUAAAUAGAAGGCUUGAUUAUGAUAUGCUUCGCCGUGUUAAUCGACGGUUUGACACACUUUUCGAUUUGAGCGGUCAAGCAUUGUCCUAUCGGGGUGCAGAAGAGAUCGUCGGUAAUGCACAAAGUGAUGUGGUGGCGAUUUUGAGGAACAUCAUUGAGUGUCAACAACAGCUCAACGAAUCCUUGCGUCACGCGGCUGAAUUUUGGAGAAGUUGCCACGAACAGCUAUAUGGUGAAUUUCGACAGUUUCAACAGCGCAUGAGCGGGGUACCGGGAGAAAUCCACCAGGUACAAGUUGAACAAAAUUUAUCUGUUAAUGCUCUUACUCUGAUCACGGAACGUUUAAAUCUAAUGCAAAGAAUGUUAUCAGAUUUGUACCGGCGUGAUCACCCUUGAUAUGUAUUGUAUUGUAUUGUUGUUUUUUAUCGUUAUUUAUUUUUUUUUUUUUUUUUUUUUUGCUUCGAUUCGCUAUUACCACCAAAUAUUUCUUACAUUAUUGUUUGUUAUUUCUUACAUGUAUUAUUGUUUUGUUCUUGGUACUGAAUUAUCAUUAGUUUCUUUCAUUUAUUAAUAUCGUCUGUUGUCAUUGAUUUAUACCGUAUUGCAUGUUAUUGUUUCCCACAUUAGGCGUUGUUUUACUUGUGGAGAAAAUGGGGUUUUGAAUUUAUACCUGCUGUAUGUUUCUGUUUUUUGUCAUCUAUAUCGCAUUGUGAAUCGUUGUUGGUGUUUUCAGGAGUAUGCACGCUUGUCUUUAAAAUUUAAAAAAGGUGUGUUUUCGAUUUAAAAUAAAUAAAAAUAAUAAUUCA
ensembl:lncRNA